rnacentral:rRNA from 1 species
GAUGAACGCUGGCGGCGUGCCUAAUACAUGCAAGUCGAGCGAACGGACGCGACGUUUGCUGCUCUGAUGUUAGCGGCGCACGGGUGUGUAACACGUGUAUACCCUCCCUAUAAGAGUGGGAUCAUCUCGAGACAGGGGCGCUAAUACCGGAUAAUAUUCUGCACCGCAUGGUUGAUAAGUGAAAUACGGUGUUGCUGUCACUUAUAGAUGGAUACGCGCUUCAUUAGCUAGUUGGUAAGGUAACGGCUUACCAAGGCAACGAGGCAUAGCCGACCUGAGAGGGUGAUCGGCCACACUGGAACUGAGACACGGUCCAGACUCCUACGGGAGGCAGCAGUAGGGAAUCUUCCGCAAUGGGCGAAAGCCUGACGGAGCAACGCCGCGUGAGUGAUGAAGGUCUUCGGAUCGUAAAACUCUGUUAUUAGGGAAGAACAUAUGUGUAAGUAACUGUGCACAUCUUGACGGUACCUAAUCAGAAAGCCACGGCUAACUACGUG